UUUAAGCUUUAAAAGUAUGUAAAUCAAAGGGCAAAUAAAUUAUAUUUAAGCUAUUAAUUACACAGUGCAUAUGCCUUUACUUACUUUCCUAACUAGCUAUAAGUAAUGAAUUUCUCCAGUGUUUAUUUAAACAGUUUAUUUUUCAAGACAGGUAUAUGUUGCACCCCUAUAAGUGCUACAUAUUUCCUUUUAGGAAGCACAAAUAUGCAGUACAUUUAGUAGCUUGGUGGAGACGUUUUGGGUUUGUUAUUUUUUCCUAACAACUGAGGAAGGAGCUGUGUUUGUGUCCAGGCACCACUUCUUUAAUUGUACAACGAAUAAAAGAAGGCGACAACUAGAGCAAGCAAGAGCAUUGUUAAGGGCCGAGGAUUUAGCUCAGUGGUUCCGCCACCUGCCUCUCAAACGCAAGGUCCCAAUUUCGAUCCCUGGGCAAUCCUCAUGCUCUCGCUUUGUGCUCAGCAAGAACACCUGGGAUUCUUCAGCUUUGCCAUGUGUAGAGAACAGCCCAAAAAUAGGCCUGCUAAAACUUCCAAGAUGGAUUGCUAGACUUUGUGAGUCACCUCUGAAACUUAAAGCUCUGCGCUUUGUGAUUUUUGUUUGCAUCAUUAGGAUGAAGAAUUUCAGCAAAGCUAACCACAAUUACUUGCGGCUAAUCUUAGCAGAUGUAAAAGUAAGCAUUUUCUCUUCCAGAUUCUAUACAUAUAUACAAAGGGCAAAUGAAAUGUUGGGUUAGGUAACUCUUUCACAACUACUCUCCUUAACAAAAUAUUCUGAAACAAAAGCCUUUCCAUAUAAAUAUGCUAAUCUAUCAAAAAUGCAAAAAUAUUCCUCAAGUUGGCAUCGCCUUCUAAAUCUAUCUUUAUAUACAAUACUAGUAAAGAAUAAUUAGAUCUGGUAUAUUAAGCAUACAGAUAUCACACUGAGUCUUUAAAACAAGGAGAUAAGUCAGGCCCUGCAAGGACUAUGGGUAUAGGCUGGCAUUCUCAUGAGACUGAAGCAUGAACCCCAAGUGGCCUCUAUAGUACACAUACAAAAAGAUUUGCCAUGCAAAGGAAUGCUUUAUCAAAGUGAACGCCAAUACCUACAUCCUGUGUCCUCUCCCAUGUUUUAUGAAAGAGACAUCAGUGUUUGAGAGGUCUGUUUUUAUAGUAUGCACCCAUAGUAAGGUCAGAGGUAGAACCUGGAAACAGAAAAAGGAUGAUGGAAUAUAACGGACUGAUAAAUAUGGAUGCAAUGAUCAUUAGAAUUUAAGAUGCCUUCUACUUAAAGGAGAAUCACAUACAUUGUUAUGUAACAUUAAACCUCAAACUGAUUUAAGGGUCACACUAGGUUGAAAUGUUCAGUAAACAUCUACUCUGGGAAGCAAGAGUAAAAGUGAAAGAGAAAAGAAUGGGAAGUAUAGAUUAUAAAAGGAAGGACACAGAAAGAAAAAACAGGGAAAUGGUGGCAUUGGUACCAAAGACUGAUGAUUCUAAAUUCAAAGGAUAUGUAAAGGAAAACACAUUUUGAAUAAAUUCAGCCUUACCUCUCAGACAUCUAUGGCAUAGGGAGGAAAGGAGAACAAACAUGGCUAAAGGAAAUGUAGAUAACAAUUGAAAAACUAAUUGCUAUCCGUAGUUUCAAUUUGCCUCAACAAUCUCAGAACAUUUUUCAAAGCUUAAGGUGUUUAUGUCAGGUUCGUGGAAUUACAAUCUCUAAUGCUUCAGAUUCAUGUCCAGAUGAUAAAUGAUGACCUACAUUUUGAACACCCUAUUAGUCAGUGUUCUCAACCAUUGAAGCAGUAUCAUCCCUCAAAACUUUAAGAGUACCAAGCAUUAUUAUUUCCCUGAGUUUGUAGAAGGGAAAAACUGAGACUUAAAUAAGUGAAUUCAGUUGUUCAAGAUGACACUGUGUAUACUGAGGUGAAAUUAAAAUGUUGAUCCCCUGAUUAUGCUCACAGAUGUUAUUUUAUAUGCAUCUUUUUUUUUUACCCCAAUUAUUGGUUCCCAGAUUGGGAAAUUCUAUAAUUUUAGAAAUUUCUAAGAGUACACUAAUUAUUUUAAACCAAACAUGUCUCACAUAUAAACAUAUGCUGUAAGUCCCAAGACAGUGAAGAUUUGAUCAGAAGUUUACCUUAAGGCCAGACUGCCUAAAUAUUAACUGGGAUAGGAGGUGUUCUUAUAGAAAUUAAGUUAUGAUGAAGUAAGGCAUACACCAAGAAAUUGGGUUCUCACUUUUUUCAGAAAAGAAUACUUUCUUAAAGUUUGAAAGGGUACAAAGGACAAUGGCUGGGUUGGUUGUCAGAUCUCUGAGGGCACUGGCAGAAGACUGGAGAUUAAAACAAUA
ensembl:lncRNA